rnacentral:rRNA from 1 species
AACGUAGGAGGCGAGCGUUAUCCGGAUUCACUGGGCGUAAAGCGCAUGUAGGUGGUUCGCUAAGUCGGUCGUGAAAGCCCCUGGCUCAACUGGGGGAGGUCGGCCGAAACUGACGGACUUGAGGUUCCGAGAGGCAGGUGGAAUUCCCGGUGUAGCGGUGGAAUGCGUAGAGAUCGGGAGGAACACCAGUGGCGAAAGCGGCCUGCUGGCGGAAUCCUAACACUGAGAUGCGAAAGCGUGGGGAG